GGAACCCUCAAAUCUUAAACAUGAGAAAUGGUUCAAAUGGUUCAAAUGUUCUUUAGCCUCAGAUAUAUCUAUUUGCUCCCUUAAUGGGAGAAUCUUCUGUAAUGGUCCACCUUCCACUCUUAUCGGCCAAUUAACAUUAUCGCACACGACCCCUCUGCUCUCUCCUGUACAGUUUUGCAGUCCAUGGUAGUGUGCUCUUGGCUAUGGCUGCACUCUCCUGUGGAAAUCUCUCCUCCAUUGGUAUUCAGAGUGAAUAUAGGUUUGAGACCAAGACACCUUGGGUUACCCGAUUUUCUUGAAUUACCUGUCUAUUCAUUUUUGUUUGUUUAGAAGUCAUUUAUUCCCUCUCUGCCUGUGCUCUCUUUCCACUGUGAAAUAGCCUCCACUUCAAAUAUGCUAUUCACUAAACCUUCGGCCUCAUGGACAGAUAAGAGUGAUUACAAACAACUCCCCUUUAAGAAUUACUGGCUGUCUCUAAUCAGCAACAGCUGGCCUGAAAUGACGCUAUCCAAUCAGGAGGAUGAACCCUGCGAUGAAGUGCUGAGGCAAUACAUAGUGUGGUUAGCACUAACUUGUCAGUGCUAUUAAUGGCGCAGAAUGAAUUAUCUGUGCAUCUUGAACUGUGUCAAUGAGUGCGUGAUAAUAAUUUACUGUGAAUUCCGUGUUCCUUUCUCAAUGUUAUCUAGUUUAGCCCUUUGCAUUUUUUUGUGAGAAUUCUGGAAAGAUCUACAGAAAACAGGUCCCACAAUGAUACAGUGCUGGCCAGAACCAAAUGGUGAAUUAGAGUCAAUUAGUGAAACUGCCGACCCCAAGGAUUCCUCUUGAGGUGUUCAAAGUGACCUCAGCUUAAAAUGUGUUGACCUUGAUUACUCUGCUCUUCCAUAAUGGCAGAAGCUGGAAGCUUUCAAGCAGCCACGAAUUAUAAAGGAACAUCCUAUAGUCGUUAACGACAGAUGAAUUCAAGAUUUGUUCAUUCAUAACUCUGUAUAUACAGC